UAGGUAUCCAUUUCUGUUACCUAUAAUGGAGCCAGAGUAUGUGGCCCAAAAAGUUGUCAACGCUAUUUUAGAGGAACAAGUUUACCUCUUACUACCCAGAUUUGCAUAUGUUGCAUUGUUCCUUAAACAAAUAAUAUCUCCAAAAAUGAUGCUUGCCCUUGGUGAGUACCUUGGAGCAGACAGGGCCAUGGUUUCUUUCAAAGGAAGAGUGAAAGAAGAUGAACCUCAGACUGAAACUAAGAGGAAAUACCACUAGCUGAAGCUCCAAAAGUUGUAACCAAAUAAAAAAUAUUAAAGGAUAGAGUAUUUGGAAAUCUUCCUAACACUUAAAUCAUUUCAGUCUACCAAGAAUCACUGAUGCUUUC
rnacentral:lncRNA from 1 species